UACACUCCUACGGGAGGCAGCAGUGGGGAAUUUUGGACAAUGGGCGAAAGCCUGAUCCAGCCAUGCCGCGUGCAGGAUGAAGGCCUUCGGGUUGUAAACUGCUUUUGUACGGAACGAAACGGCCUUUUCUAAUAAAGAGGGCUAAUGACGGUACCGUAAGAAUAAGCACCGGCUAACUACGUGCCAGCAGCCGCGGUAAUACGUAGGGUGCAAGCGUUAAUCGGAAUUACUGGGCGUAAAGCGUGCGCAGGCGGUUAUGUAAGACAGUUGUGAAAUCCCCGGGCUCAACCUGGGAACUGCAUCUGUGACUGCAUAGCUAGAGUACGGUAGAGGGGGAUGGAAUUCCGCGUGUAGCAGUGAAAUGCGUAGAUAUGCGGAGGAACACCGAUGGCGAAGGCAAUCCCCUGGACCUGUACUGACGCUCAUGCACGAAAGCGUGGGGAGCAAACAGGAUUAGAUACCCCUGUAGUCCCA
rnacentral:rRNA from 1 species